rnacentral:lncRNA from 1 species
AGUUGACACCAAGAGGUCACUCCCCUGAGGAGCCGGCUGCAGGGCGGUGAUUCGCCCCCGGGAUGGUGGCGGCGAUUCCGUGCGCCUUCCUGCAGUUGGACAUCAGUUAUAUUUCAGGCUUUCAAAGUAAACGACGAACUCAGCACUUUGGCAGAGUCCAAAAUCCGCCAGCGAACUUGGGUGCUAGAGUUCGGCGGGAAGAAAAGCGCCCGGGCUGCGCCGACCGCCGGCCCCGAGCCGCCGCGGGCUCCGAGGAGUCGGCCGAGCUGCUCCCGCGCCCUGGCCGGACGUUUGAAACUAUUGCUUUGCUGAAAACAUCUGACUGCCAGGCUAGGAUGUGACACUUAAGGGACUUACCAAUUUGGGAUUCUUCCAGGAGCUGAAAACUGAUUGCAAAUAUGAAACAGAUUUCACUACAGGACUUGAACCCUACAUUAAAAAACAACAAGCUCCCCAAAAUAAUUGAAAAAGAUCUUCACCAAAGAGUAGCUGCAAUGUGAAUGGCAGGAUAUGAAGCAAGUAAGAGAUGGUGAAAAGAUUAUCUUAAGCUUGGAAUUAAGUGAUGAAAGGGACCUUCGAAAUUAUCAACUCUAAAUACUUCUUUACAGGAAAAUUGAAAGCAGUUAAGAACCUGCCCCCUACCGUGGAGUUCUUGGUGCCGUGAGUUGGAGUUCUUGGUGCCUGGGUGCGUCCCCAAGG